UACGUAGGGGGCAAGCGUUGUCCGGAUUUAUUGGGCGUAAAGAGCGUGUAGGCGGCCAGGUAGGUCCGUUGUGAAAACUCGAGGCUCAACCUCGAGACGUCGGCGGAAACCCUCUGGCUAGAGUCCGGAAGAGGAGAGUGGAAUUCCCGGUGUAGCGGUGAAAUGCGCAGAUAUCGGGAAGAACACCCGUGGCGAAGGCGGCUCUCUGGGACGGUACUGACGCUGAGACGCGAAAGCGUGGGGAGCGAACAGG
rnacentral:rRNA from 1 species